rnacentral:lncRNA from 1 species
AAUAAAUCUUAAGGGCAAAACCCAAUCACAAGAUAAGGGGGGGGAUUUCAUCUCUCUUUCCUUGGCCCACAACAAUUUAAUUCUUCAUUUUGCAUACCCCUCCUUUAAUAAAAUUGAAUUAGACUCUAGCCCUAGGAUAUCGCGCUCAAUUAGGAAGGAACCUAAAAGACGAGAUAAUCUUUAAUUAUUCCGACUCUUCGGUGUCUAAGG